UACGUAGGGGGCAAGCGUUGUCCGGAUUUAUUGGGCGUAAAGAGCGUGUAGGCGGCCUGAAAGGUCAGCUGUGAAAACUCGAGGCUCAACCUCGAGACGUCGGUUGAAACCAUCUGGCUAGAGUCCGGAAGAGGAGAGUGGAAUUCCCGGUGUAGCGGUGAAAUGCGUAGAUAUCAAGAGGAACACCUGAGGUGAAGACGGGUUGCUGGGCCGACACUGACGCUGAUGCGCGAAAGCCAGGGGAGCAAACGGG
rnacentral:rRNA from 1 species